UGCUGACACAGAAGGAUAAGAUUCAGUUACAUGUUGAGCAUGUUGUGGCUGUGUACUGUCACCAGGGUUCAGUGUGAAGAAUAAUGAGGGCUGCUGUUAAGAAUAAUAAAUCAUAAUAAUUUAGAUUUGUAAAGCACCUUUCAAGAAACUCAAGGACACUUUACAAGAGAACUCUAGAAGCUGAAAGUGUUGUUGAAGAUGUGAGUUUUAAAUAAUUACCUAAAACUGCCAAUUGAUUCAAAUCGUGAUUUCAUGCUUGUUCACCUGGAUCACCACCUCGUCUGGAGCAGAUCUACAGCAUAUGGUGAUGCACAUGAGAAAGAAAUGAACCACCUUUGUAACACUGACAACCGUGGCUGAACGCUGAAGUUACCUGGAUGAGCCACAAUCCUGCUUCAUAUUUCAGACUUCUGGUUACGAUGUCUCUGUAUUCACCCGCGAUAGCGCC